rnacentral:sRNA from 1 species
CAGAUGAUGGUGUCGUAUACGAAGAUUC